GGCGCAAUGAAACGAUAUGAGCCCCCCUGAAAUGGUAAUUUUUAAGGACUGCAAAUCCUUCAUUCAUCGGUUCAAAUCCGAUUGCCGCCUCCA
rnacentral:tRNA from 1 species